rnacentral:rRNA from 1 species
UAAGGAAUAUUGCGCAAUGGGGGCAACCCUGAUGCAGCGACGCCGCGUGAGCGAUGAAGCCCUUCGGGGUGUAAAGCUCUUUCGGCAGGGAAGAUAAUGACGGUACCUGCAGAAUCAGCUGCGGCUAACUACGUGCCAGCAGCCGCGGUAAUACGUAGGCAGCGAGCGUUGUUCGGAGUUACUGGGCGUAAAGGGUGUGUAGGCGGCGCUCUAAGUGUGGUGUGAAAUCUCCCGGCUCAACUGGGAGGGUGCGCUACGAACUGGAGUGCUCGAGUGCGGGAUGGGAGAGUGGAAUUCCUGGUGUAGCGGUGAAAUGCGUAGAUAUCAGGAGGAACACCGGUGGUGUAGACGGCUCUCUGGACCGCAACUGACGCUGAGACACGAAAGCGUGGGUAGCAAACAGGAUUAGAUACCCUAGUAGUCCCUGAGCGGGCUGGCAAGGCGCAU